rnacentral:Y_RNA from 1 species
UGCUGAUCUGAAGGUAGUGAGUUAUCUCCAUUGACUGUUCACAGCUAGUUACAGAUCAAACUCCUUGUUUUACUCUUUCUCCCCUUCUCUACUUGACUAAUCUUCA